GCUUUAUAUUGUUACUUCAAAAAACAUUGCUUUAUAUUGAGCUACUGAUCAACUUCUUUUUCUUGUUUGAUUCUCCUUUUUUUUGUUAUUUUUAGGUAACCUAGAGGAUGCAAGGUUACUACAUGAUUCAGUUUGCUGCUACCAACAGGAAGUUGAUGUGACUGUUUUAGCACCGUGUGUUUGCAAUACUAUAAGUUGGUGUGUUUGCUCAUUUGUGUUUGUGUGUUUUUGGAUAUGCUGCAAGAAGGCCGUUUCCCAGAGGUUCUCUUGUCAGGUGACCUCUAAAAUGCAUGGUUGCUACAUCAGUUGGCUGCCUACCAGAUUGGUGGCAUCACAAUGUUUGAUUAAUUACUUAUCGCUGCAUAUUUCCAAAUAAUAUAUAUUGGCGUGUCUGUUUUUAUGUGGCUUGGAGCUGCUACUUGCUUGUAUUAUCCAUCUGUUCACCGGACCAGUGCCUGGCCAGUGCGAAUGCCGUUGUUAAUGUUCCAACUCAAUCCGAGUUUGCUUGCUAUGUAGGAGUAUUUGAAAUAAGAAGCUAGGUCUGAUUGUGCACACAAGAACCUAGUAGUGGUGUGUGAUUUGUGGGGUGAACGACUUCCUGUUAAUUAUGUAUGGAAUUGAUGAUUGUAUUCUGUUUGAACAAGUUAACGUACUAUGUUGUGUGUGUUUUAUGACGUUUUUUUAUUUAUGUUACUACUCCCUCCAA